rnacentral:rRNA from 1 species
AUACGUAGGGAGCGAGCGUUGUCCGGAAUUACUGGGCGUAAAGGGCGCGUAGGCGGCGCUUCAAGUCGUCUGUCAAAUGGGAGGGCUUAACCCUUUUUCGCAGACGAAACUGGAGAGCUUGAGAAGCAGAGAGGCAAACAGAAUUCCUGGUGUAGCGGUGAAAUGCGUAGAUAUCAGGGAGAAUACCAGUGGCGAAGGCGGUUUGCUGGCUGCAUACUGACGCUGAAGCGCGAAAGCCAGGGGAGCAAACGGGAUUAGAUACCCCGGUAGUCCUGGCAGUAAACGAUGUAUGCUGGGUGUGAGACUAGCGAUAGUUUCGUGCCGAAGUUAACGCGAUAAGCAUACCGCCUGGGGAGUACGGUCGCAAGAUUGAAACUCAAAUGAAUUGACGGG